ACUUGACGGUUUACCUUAAACCCUCAAGUGCUUUUAAAAUUUUCUGUCAUAAAUAUCUGCUAAAGUAUGAUGUGUUCAUAUGUAAUCAAAAGAGAUUUUUGUUGUUUGAUUGAUGUAGAUAAU